rnacentral:rRNA from 1 species
CCUACGGGGGGCAGCAGUGGGGAAUAUUGCACAAUGGGGGAAACCCUGAUGCAGCGACGCCGCGUGAGUGAAGAAGUAUUUCGGUAUGUAAAGCUCUAUCAGCAGGGAAGAAAAUGACGGUACCUGACUAAGAAGCCCCGGCUAACUACGUGCCAGCAGCCGCGGUAAUACGUAGGGGGCAAGCGUUAUCCGGAUUUACUGGGGGUAAAGGGAGCGUAGACGGCCAAACAAGUCAGAAGUGAAAACCCGGGGCUCAACUGCGGGAGUGCUUUUGAAACUGCUUGGCUGGAGUGCAGGAGAGGUAAGUGGAAUUCCUAGUGUAGCGGUGAAAUGCGUAGAUAUUAGGAGGAACACCAGUGGCGAAGGCGGCUUACUGGACUGUAACUGACGUUGAGGCUCGAAAGCGUGGGGAGCAAACAGGAUUAGAUACCCGGGUAGUC